GGUGACAUGGCCGAGUGGUAAUGCAAAGGACUGCAAAUCCUUUUUUCCCAGUUCAAAUCUGGGUGUUUCCU
rnacentral:tRNA from 1 species